rnacentral:rRNA from 1 species
UACGGGGGGAGCAAGCGUUGUUCGGAUUUACUGGGCGUAAAGGGCACGUAGGCGGUCGUGACAAGUCACUUGUGAAAUCUCCGGGCUUAACUCGGAACGGUCAAGUGAUACUGUCGGACUAGAGUACAGAAGGGGCAACUGGAAUUCUCGGUGUAGCGGUGAAAUGCGUAGAUAUCGAGAGGAACACCUGCGGCGAAGGCGGGUUGCUGGGCUGAUACUGACGCUCAUGCACGAAAGCGUGGGGAGCAAACAGG